UACGAAGGGGACUAGCGUUGUUCGGAAUCACCGGGCGUAAAGCGCACGUAGGCGGAUUUGUAAGUCAGGGGUGAAAUCCCGGGGCUCAACCUCGGAACUGCCUUUGAUACUGCGAAUCUUGAGUCCGAUAGAGGUGGGUGGAAUUCCUAGUGUAGAGGUGAAAUUCGUAGAUAUUAGGAAGAACACCAGUGGCGAAGGCGACUUACUGGACAUCUGUUGACGCUGAGGUGCGAAAGCGUGGGGAGCAAACAGG
rnacentral:rRNA from 1 species